GGGGGCGGAGCAUUCUCUCAGAAGCUUGGAAGUGAGCUGUUCCUGGCCUGUCUUGGGGGAGGGGCUGCAUUUCAUGAGGCUGCAGCUGACAAGAAGCUUCAAGUGGAAAUUUUCCUGGACCUGAUCAAGCGCAUAGCCUGGUUGCUGUGUUGGCUAUAGCCCUGUGUGUGUCCUCCUUGCAACUCAUUCUUUCAGCCUCACAGCCUAGGUUAAUAUCAGAGAUGCACAUGACCUGGUGAAUCUGUAUGUGAAGCUCAUUGAGCCCCAGAAAGGCAGUGCAACAACAGAAGCCUUGAGCAGGAAGGAAGAAGGCCCUGGUGGACAACAGGAUCAUAGGGACAGACCCUCCACAAUCCAUGUGACAUUGGAAGGGGCCUUCUCUCUUCCCCAUCACCGGGAAGAGGCGGAGCAUUCUCUCAGAAGCCUGGAAGCAAUCAGUGCCUGGCCAUUCUUGGUGGAGGGACUGCAGCUGACAAAAAGCUUCAAGUGGACGCUGUCCUGGACCUGAUCAAGUGUGUAGCCUAAUUGCUGUGUUGGCUACAGCCCUGCGUGUGUCCUCGCAAAUCA